rnacentral:rRNA from 1 species
UACGUAGGGGGCAAGCGUUGUCCGGAGUUACUGGGCGUAAAGCGCACGCAGGCGGUCGCGGAAGAGUGCGGGGACAGUGGGCGGCUUAACUGCCCAAGGGUCGCACAGACUGCGUGACUGGAGGGCCAGAGAGGGACCUGGAAUUCCGGGUGGAGCGGUGAAAUGCGUAGAGAUCCGGAGGAACACCAAUGGCGAAGGCAGGGUCCUGGCUGGCACCUGACGCUCAUGUGCGAAAGCCAGGGGAGCGAACGGG